rnacentral:rRNA from 1 species
UACGUAGGAGGCGAGCGUUGUCCGGAAUCACUGGGCGUAAAGCGCGUGCAGGCGGCAAGGCAAGUCUGCUGUGAAAGCUCUCGGCUUAACCGGGAGAGGUCGGUGGAAACUGCCUGGCUAGAGGACGGUAGAGGGGGGUGGAAUUCCCGGUGUAGUGGUGAAAUGCGUAGAGAUCGGGAGGAACACCAGCGGCGAAGGCGGCCCCCUGGGCCGCUCCUGACGCUGAGACGCGAAGGCUAGGGUAGCGAACGGG